GAUGAAAAAAGGAUCAACUCCGGCGCUCUCCACUGACCCUCCCUUCCUCAUUUCCUUAUCGUAAGGGAGGAGUGAACUAUUGGAUCAGCUAGUCGGAUAAGCCCAUCUUCUCCUCUACCUAAAUCUAAUGACUAUUGAAGGGCAAUAUACUAUACACACUUCAUAAUCUGUAUUCUUGGUUGAAGGUAGUUGUUAAUUUCAUUUUGGUUUUAUGUUGUUUAUUCAGGUGCAUUUUUAAAUAAUGGAGACUGAGAAUCCAUUUCAUUUUUGUUUUUGGUUGUUUUGUUUACUUAGUUUACCAGUUCCAAUGUUUAGUGUUCUUUUAAAAAUAAAGUGUAUCUAUUUUUGCAGGAUAUCGCUUGCAUUAUAGCAUUACUAUUACAUCAGUUUAAAAUGGUGUUCAAACAAUAUUAUCGUUUAUCGCAAUAAUGUUCUUGACAAUUAAUCGCUCAGCAACAUUUGUUAUGGUCACAGGCACAGAGACAUGUAAAUCAAGAAUCACCGUUUAAGGUAGAGGCAGCAGCAUAGAAGAAUUAAGAAACACUGCCACCUGCAGGUGGGAGUUGGCAUCACAUAAACCCAACAUUUUUGAACAUUUUUUUGCAGAAAGUUUGCGAUAAAUAAUAAAUUUAAUAUGCGGGGGAUUUGCUGAUUUUGAAUAAAUUCCAGCAAUCACAAAAAUCAUUAAAAACUGGAGGGGCUGUUUAUUGCAUUUCUAAUAUUGCAUGAAAAAGGCUUGAGUGGUUAAAUAAAACAUCUGCAGAAUUUUGGAGGGAGUUAAUUGAUUCCUCAUCAGAAUAAUCCAUUACUAAAAUAAUCAUGGUUGCACCCAUAACUCGUUCCCUCCAAGUGGGCGGAGUCACAACCUGCAGUGACUCUCAGAUCUCACACACGUUCAGUGUGACAACAUGACUCCUAUCAGACACAGCUUGUUUCUUUUUGCUCUCUGGAUUAAAGGUCUAACAGAUGGCAGUGUCGUCACUCAGACUCCUCUGCUGUGGGUCAACCAGAGUCAGUCCACCAUCAUGAACUGCAGUCACACAGAUAUUUCUUACUACCAGAUGUACUGGUACCAGCAGCUGCCGGGUCAGAACAUGAAGCUAAUAGUUUUUACGACAACAUCUCCUCCAUUCCAGUAUGAAGACGGCUUCAGCAAGGAGAAGUUUCCAGCGGACAGGAAGGACGCUCUGAGCGGAUCUCUGACGGUGAAGCAGCUGCAGCCUGAAGACAGUGGAGUGUAUUUCUGUUCAGUCAGUCAACACAGUGAUGAGGCCGAGGGAAAGAGCUGCACAAAAACCCAGCUGCUGGAGACACAGUGAAGUUACACUUCAUCAGCAGCAGGGGGAGCUCUCAAUUCAAACUCUGCAGCAUCUCAACAUUGUUACGGCCCAAGGCCUUUCCUCUGGGUCUCUAACAUCCAUAUUCUAGAGCAGAGAUGCUCAAGUCCAGUCCUGGAGAGCUACCAUCCUGCAACUUUUAGAAGCAUCUUUACUCCAACAGACCGGGAUCAGCUCUGAACAGGCCUGGUAACGAGCCACUCAUUUGAUUCUGGUGUAUUGGAGCAGGGAUGAAUCUGAAAGUUACAGGAUGGUAGCUCUCCAGGACUGGACUUGAGCAUCCCUGUUCUAGAGCUUCUAAUUGGUGCUGAUAGGAAGUGGAGGCAGCUGGCCAGCGUCUCUAGAAUGACGUCACAUCCAGCUUACGAUGCACCAUUGUUCCUCACUAACUAGCCCAUUUCUUUCCGUCUCUCUGCCACCUUCUCCCCUUUCCUCUCAGUUAUGAUUUUUGUUAAAUAAAUCCCAUGUUAAGUGAU